CGAUGCACUAUAUAUCUAUAUAUAUAUAUAUAUCUAUAUAAUAAGGGAGAAUGGUUUUUGAAAUUGAGAGACAAAUGUGAGGGGGAUAUUUUUUGGAUGAUUGAGAUUAAUUUUUAAAAAGUUCAAUGGCUGAGAUCAGUUUUUAGAAUAUAAUUUUCCCCCUCAAAACCAUCACAUCCCUGCUCACACACGCACACAGAGCCACUCAUUGCCCAACCCUCUCUUCCUUCUUUCCCUCUCACACUCCAUCUCUGCCCAAUCACUCUCUCUCCCUCUCUCUCUCUCUUUCAGUCACCCACCCAUCCACGCCAUCGUCUCCCCCCCUAUCACCCCACUUGCAAUCGCUCAAUCGACGUUGCCCCCCCACCGCACAGCUUUCGCCUCUUGCUUCGGCCACAGCCAUAUUCGCCAACGGCUGCUCUGCCAUCACUGUCGUUCGUGCUUGCUGUCAUCACCGUCGCGGCCGCUUACUUCCAGCGCGACCAUGUUCCGCUGCUGAUGGCCAUCCCCAUCGUCGUCCCGAUCCGCCAGCAUCCCUGACUCGCGAGCCCCGCCAUCGUCGCCGCCCCUUCCACCGUUUGCCGCAACCCCCUCGGUGGAUCGAUGGACAGAACAAUGGAAGGAAGGAAGAAAACAAGAGGGAGAUCAGGGGGUAUGAAUUCGGGAAGAAGAACGCACCACUGUGCGUCACACGCACAACGCGCAUCAAAUUAACGCAAGUAAGAGAGAGUCGUAUCUGCACACAGCGCACUUCUGAAAUUGGAGGAGGAAGAAGACGCGCACUAUGCGCUUUUUCUUAAUCUUCACGUGCUGCCUUACUUCAUUAUAUACAUAGAUUAUUAUAUACAUACAUACAUAACGGCAGAUUCCUCCAAUGUAAUCGAGAAUGAAUUGUGGGUUUUUCUUGACUUGGGGAUUUCUUUGAUCUGUGCGUUAAUUAUGGGUUUUGAUGAUUAUGUUGUUGGGUUUUCCUUGAUCUGUGAGUUAAUUGUGCGGGUUUGUUUGUAAGUUUGUUGUGUUUGUUUGCCGAGAAAAUGUGAGGAAAGGCUUGGUGGAAACAGAAAUUGGAGGAAAAGCGAUUGAAUGUUAGGAUUUGGAUGUUUCUUUACAUGAUUCUUUUGGAGCCCAGAGUGGUAAUUUGAGUUAUGUUGGGCUUUUUCAAGAAUGAAUUUGUUUUUUAAUCUUCUCUGAUUAA